GGAGAUGUCUUGUAACCCGGCUGAGUUACAGCCACAGCGCUCUGCAGUCGAGCACCUCGCCGCUCCGGAAAAAAAAUAUAAUUAAACUCUGCUGGCUUCUGUUGUUUGCUAGUGAUUGCUGAAUUUGGAAACUGCAGACAAAACCCGAAGGGCUGGAUCCCCUCAUCGGUGCAGAAAGGAUCUGUGGACGUUGCAUCUCCAGACCUGGAUGCUGUUCCUGCAGCAUUAAUGGGGCAGAAGCGGUAUUCGUCCCUAAACAAGUUUGUUGCAAGAUUUGGGAGCCCUGGGUAGUACGACUUUAGCAGUAGACACGAGUGUCUACCAAACGCCAGGAAACUGGGGUAGGCAGAGGCUGCAUUUCAAUUUGCUGUUACUCACCCUGCUGAAUGGGAGGGGUCCUCCAGGGGUCCUGAUUUGGAGGCCUAAAAAAUUCCUUCCAUUCCGCUGCCGUGCCCCGCAGCCCAUGGGGCGGUGGCUGCCCGCGGCGGGGCGGCCGCGGAGGUUGCCCUCUGCCUCUGACCGCAAAGGGCUGAGGGGGAACGCGCGGCGCUCUGGAGAACAGCCCGUGCGCUCCCUGUUCUACAGGGAUGGUGGCUUUGGCUGCGAGCCAACCCCCCCAUUUACAUCCCUCGUGUUCAGCGCUGAAAAUGGUUUAAUUCCAAACGAGCUGUUUACCAGAAGAACACGACGCUCUUGAACGCAAAUGUGUCAGAGGGAUGAGACCAGGCUCCUAAAGAAGUUCUGGGGGCUGCUUCUUUUGACGUCUGUCAAUUUACUGUGUUUGUCCUAGAAAAUGGCACUUUCUCUCCGGGCAAUAGCAGACCCGUUAAAAACAUCAGCCCCGUACCUGUGCAGCUGCUGCUGCCUUGAGCCAAAACAAACGGACCGCAGCCCACGGCGUGACUGCACCAUCUGAGAAUGAAACGCUGGUCCUUGGAGGGAAGAGUCACAGAGGAGACAGGAUUGAUCCCAGUGCCCUAUUUGGAGGACCGAAAUGCACAGGAAUCCUGUUCUGCCUGUCUAGAUCCAGACUGAGAGAGCUUCGCCAUCUUCUGAGCUUUACCAAGGGUUUAAAUUCUCUUCCCCCAUUAAGAUCAAGGCAGAAAAGAAAACUUUUGGAAAACUUACGUAAGUAGACAGGAAGUAAUUACAUGAGCUCCAUCAAAACAUGCAAUAUCUGUUUCAGCCUUUUAAAAACUCUUCGAGAAAAUUAUCUAAAAAUUAGCUGAGGUGUUGAAAUCGUGUUUUCAUGCUGCAGAGCAAAGUUGUCCACUUUCGAAUCGUCAACUUUUCAAAGCCUUUUUGUACAUUUUUUAAACUGGGGCACUCUUCUGAAUACCCAAUCCUCUGUUAACAGUUUUGGGUUGCUGCUUUAACCUGAAAAGGCUUUGCCAGAAAAUUUCUUGCCUGCGAUUCCCUGAUUGCGCAGUUGGAGGUAGGUGGUUUUGAACCCGCAUGGCCAGAAAGGCAGAAGCGUGGCGAAGCUGAGAGCACUGUCAUUCAAAUACACGACUGUUGUUUGCGCUGACAGCCCUGCAGAAGUUCAUUAGCUCUUGGCAGUUGCAAACAAGCGGAAUUCAUUUGCCUGGCUCAGGAAAUUCAACCCGUGCUGUUGAAAAUUCAGCAUUUUCAGGAGAAAGCUGAUGGAAGGCCUGGUGGCUUGGACGGGAAGGCUGAUCACACGCGUGGGACCGGUGCUGGAGGACAUAGGUUUGGAUCAGGACCUGCUGCGGUCUCCCUUGUGACAUCUGGCCACGUUCUUUCUUUGAGCUCCAUUUCCCCUUCACCGUUGUUCCUUGCAAAUACACGCAGUCCGUUAGGCACUGGGCAGCGCUGUGCUGUCAUGGUGAUGUGGUCUAAACAAACGCAGAGCAUUUUGCCAGCAUUUCAAAACUGAAAUUCUUGUUGCGAAUGAAAUAGCAGAGGAACUCGGAGUUUUGUUUGCUCGGUUCUUCACCCUGAGACUCUGAGUCAUGCUGACUUGCAUGUCCGCUGGACUUCUGGAGAUCUUCUAGUAUUUUGUCAACUGCAGUGACAGAUACCUCAGUGUGCAGUGACAAUUCACAUAUAAAACCGAUUCGCAUUAAGAAGCAUUUCUUUCUCUGCAAGCUUCUGAACCCACUGGUCAGUUUCCACCCAGUUUCACAGAAGGGAAGCACCAGUUCCUGUCUUCCUGUAGCUCACUGGCAUCCGCGCAGGGGAGCGAACCUCUGCUGCUGCUCACCACCGCGGGGAUGACCGCCGGGUGAGUUUCGCGUUUGCUCCGCACCAGAAUCCACAUGAAGGCGUUAAGGAUGGCCCCGAGAGCGCUGCUGGAGCCUGCACUCGGCUGGGUGCUGCAGCACCAGCUGUGUGCCACCCGCAAGCCCCAGUGCUGCUUCUCCUUCCUCCGGGCUUGUGGUUAGCACAGCAGCUAGCUCGCCCCAGCCUGACCACAGCCGGUGCAACGCGCCCUCCUCCGCAGCAAAGCCCCCACGUGCCAGUCCUCCUGGCUCAUCUUUGCCCCUGUUUAGGACAAACGGCUCUUAAACAGCUGAUAUUUAAAAGGGGGUUUUAUUGCCAAAUCUCAAAGCUCGUUACAAGCAGGAGACAAAGUGCUGCCUUUCCACUGGCUGCAGCAGCUGCUUUUCAGAUAGUCAUCCACAUUUGCUUGCUUGCAAGUUCACUUCCUUCCUGUCACAAAUGUAACCUGGUGGCACAGCCUGAAACACAGACUCACACCCCAGCGCUCUGUGCCCACAGGGUUCCCAGGCACAAGAAAGCAGCCUUCGUGCAGCCAGAAAUCAGAUGGUUAAGGGGAGAAACAAAAAAGUGCGUGGUGGCAGGAUGUACGCUGAAGCUGGGAGGUGCUGUAGGAGGUCAGAGCAAAGGCUUAUCAGACCAGGAUCCCAUCUCUGACUGAGACCAGCACUGCCAUUUGCAGGGGAGCAGCUAGAAGCACUCCAGAAGGCAGCUACAGGGUAGCCCACCCUCCUGCCUUAGGCAGAGCCCAGCUUAUGACCAGAAUGAGAAGAACAAGUGGGAAAACUGCAGAAGCAACGUGAUCCGUUGUUUUCUGGAAAGUCCCGGUGAAUCAGGCUUACGGCUGGGCUAGACAUUUUAGGAUGAAACUGCUAACCCUGCUAGAAAAAAUAGUUUAAAAGUCUCCAACGGACUGCUUUCAGCAGUAGAGUUACCGGGUGCUAUGGAGAUUCCACUUAAGUUAUACCUAUUUACAAGAAAUUAUACAAAUCUACUAAGUUCUGUUAGUACAGCAAAAACUGUCAUUAGCUGUAGCUUGUAAAAUGAUUUAAUGUGCUCACUUCCUAACAAAUAGGGUUGCUUUUUUUUUUUCUGUUAAGAUUCCUACUGAUGGGUAUUCAGUAAAAUGUCAGACAUUUAUUCAUUAGAAUAUCCAGUAUUAUAUAAAAAUAUACAGUAAAUAUAAGCACAUCCUGUAGGUUUGGCUGUAACAGAUAGGGAUAUCUCGCUAUCUUCAUCAGCGCUUUGCCAGACGGUAUCCACAGAACACACUGCCACAAGAAACACCCGUGAGAGCAGAAGCAUUUGUAUAUGCAUUAGGGGACUGACCCUCCCGUAAGUUAUCUCCAUUCUCAUGAGUUUUCAGUUCCAGGCUUUGAUUUGCCCAUCCUGGAGGUCAGGACUGGCUUCCACUUUGGAUAUGAACCUGCACCCGGAGUUUGCCCUGGUUCAUGUGUCUUCCUGUUAGUGUGAACUUCUUCUCCCCAUCUGGUUUCUCUCUUCUUACAGACCCGCAUCCUGCAAAUGCCUGCCUGCGCUCUGAAGCUGAUGUCCCUCGACUUCCAGUGCGCACCAGGUUCUGACAGCUCACAUUCAUACCACACAGUGUUCGGUAAACAAAAGUGCACAUGCAGAAAAAUACAUUUAGAUAGCAGAUAGGCACAGAGUAUUGUCUAUAUGAUUAGCCCUUGUCCUAAGAACAUCUGAAAGGCAAGUAAGACCCACGGUUCACAUUCAGUCUACAGCAGCAAAUUACACAGAUCCAGAGUUUGCUCCAGGCUGUGUGCCUGGCAGUGGGCUUAGGACACAGGAAUCUUUUUGUCUCAAAGCAAAGCUCUUGUGGCACCUGGGCCCUGAGUGUCUGACCGUGUAGAACCUCCCACGUGAGAGAAUAAGAAGUGAUUUUCCAUGCAUUGUCUACAGCUGUCUUGAGAGGGGGACGGACCACCCUGGCUGCUUUAAUCAAAAUCAAAAGAUAUGGAAGCAACAGCUCUAGUCACUCACUACCUAUCUUGAUGGCUCUGGGUGGUGAAAAACAGCGUAUUUGGAAGCCCAAAGACAACAUUUCUCUGCUCAGAUCUGAAGAGCACAUGGGCUAGCCUAAGAAGAGGUGCGGAUGAAGCUUUACUGGGCUGCUGCAAAGGGAGGUGUUUGCAGCCCACUGCAGCCUUGUGGAACCUGGGGAAUCAUACAAAGAAUAACAGAAGAGAAGUGCUGACAAUGAGAGAAAAAAGAUAAGGUAGCAUGUCACUCCUUAAAACCAGUCUGGAAAGAUCAUCCUUUUCUGUGCUUCCUGAGUCUGGUUUAAGCAAAGGAGAAGCCCUUCAGGAUGUCAUACGAUUCUCCUGAGAGCAAAAACUGUAGGGAACAGGAGAGGGAACUUAGCUCAGGUACAGCACUGUACAGCAGCGGUGCAAAGACAUGAUUUUAUCACAACUUUAAUCACUAGAAACCAUGGGAAUUGUGUUUGCUUUCAGCAGGUGGGUGGGGGAGCUGUGGGAAUUGUGCCAGAGCCUCCUGCAAUGCUUUCCUCAGCCCCUUACGUAGCAAUGCACUUUUAUUUUCAUAUACUUAAGCCACAGGGACCAGCCCCAAAGUUGUGCGCACAAAAUGCCUUUCCCUCCGUACUCCAAUUACAGAUGUCUGUGCCAAACCGUGGCUCGCAGGCUAGCCGGGACACAGCAGGUAGAAACCUGCUACAUAGGACGAGGGUCUCAUCCAGACCAGCUGCCUGAGAUGCACGCUCCUAUCAGUUAGCAUCCCACAACAGAGAGCCAACAGCUAAGGGAAUGUACAUCAGUAACAAAUGAGCUUCUUAAAGACAGGCUCUCCUGCGAAGCCCCUGGGCAUCUCCUGGACACAAGCCGUCCAAGCAUCUGGCUAAUUGUUCCCAGUUACAAAGCAGGGAUUCAGAGUUAUCAGGUAGGUAUGGUCCUUAAAAAUAAGCAUGUGGUGCUGCUGCAACACGCUUCUUCAAAGGCCAAGUGUAACCUGCUCUGUAUCUCUGCCUCAGUUUCCCUGGUAAUGAAACAGGAACAAUUAAUACGUGCCUGGCAAUGAUGCAUUGAAACUCGCAUUCAUUUACACGGUGCUUAGCCCACGUAAAGCAUUGCCUGGCUGGACUCAGAAGAGUGCCUAGAUCUGAGGACACUCCUCGUAGCCAGGAGCUGGCCAGUUUUGCUUGCCUCUGCGUGCGGUCACUAACUGUGGAUGUGGUUUUACGAGCAUCCUCAGAGAAGCUUAAGCCAUUUAUCCUUACAUUCCUAGAUGUCACUGGGCCAGGUGCUCCAGGAAACCUUGCCAGCAAGUGUAUAAACAAAGUAAAAUAUUCUCUGACUGCAUUUAUCUUUAAAUGAUUGAAGUGGGAAAACCGGAUAGGUGCCAGUGUAAUCUGGUAUCUGCUUGUAAAUACAGACGGGCGGGGGUUUUGCUAGAGAAACCAUUCUGCUCCUUUCAAAAUUCCGACUCGGUUUGAUUACCAGAAAUUUUUAAGGCCUGAUCCAUUGAUUUGAAAGUACUUUGGACCAAGUCCCUAAAGAGCAUUCACAUUUUUGAAGCUGUUCAAUGUCCUGUAACCUUCUGCUGUGAUGAGAGGAUUAGAGCCGGACUGGUACGUACAGCAUGAAGAAAGAGAGGAAGAGGCUGUAACUGAAAGCUCAGUUCUGUGCCAUAAACAUGGUGCAUGCACAGCAAAACACCACCUUUUGAACACUGGCCUAGCAAUGGUACAAAUCAUAAAUGGCAAAUGUUUAGCUUUGAUUUUGAAAACCAAGUCUUUCUGAAGAGUGUGUCAGGGAGCACUUCUCCUAUAAAGAGUCACUAGAUCCUUUUGCUUUUCUUUCUGUUUCUGUGCUGCUUCUUUUUUCAGUUCUCCAAGACCUUUAAUUUCUUGCAAGACUUGAGUAGCUUGCCGAAGUUGUUCUACCGCCUCGUUGAGUAAUGUCUCUGCCAUCACUGGGGGUCCGUUCCCCUCCUGGACCUGUUCCAGCCCUCCACGUAAAACCUUCUGCAGAAGUUUUUCUGCCUUUUCCCUUUCGCUAGCAACUUUCUCCUCCAUUUUAGCUAAGCAGUGAUGGGAAUCCUUGGGGAAACCUUGACCUGGAAGUGCUGUCUGGGUAUUUUUGGAAUCUGACAGCAAGUCUCCCAGAGACGAACUGCGAAGUUUGAGGCCUGAAGUGUUUUCUACAGAGGUUUUCUUCUCAGUAGUUGCUUUCACACUCUCCUGGCCUGUUUCUGAAGCUAAGGAACUCGGUCUCUGUUCUGCUGAACUUUGCUGUUCCUUCUCAGCCAAGGUUCUCCCGUUUUCUUCUUUAGUUUCAGCUGUUGGGGAUGUGGUCUCUGCUACUUCACUGGCUUCGACGCCGUUCACUGGGGGCUUGGAGCUGCCAGACCCCAGAUCUUCCAACCCCCCAGCUUCCAGGUCGCCGUGGCUGGAGUUCAUAGUGGCUAUCAUUUUUUCUGACAGAAUCUUAGGAGGAGGAACAGGAGGCUUUGUAACAUCUGCAGCAGCAGUCUCAGCAAGGCUGUCUUUGCUACUGUCUCCUGAUGAUUUCAGGUCUUCUGUGUUUUCAAGUUCAGAGACUGGUUGGUCCCAAGCCACUUUUAGCUUGUCUGGCACAUUCUUAGGAAGAGGAACUGGAGGUUUUGAUGUGCCCUUGCUGCUGAGCUCAGCAAGUUUCUCUCUGUUCUCCUCACCUGGUGCGAUGGAUUCUUCCACAUUCUCCUCUCUGCUUACAGAGUCCUCUUCCUUGGCAUUUACAUCGUCCUUCGAUGCUAAGCCUUCCUUAAGCUUCUUAUCUGGAGGCAGAGGCGUUUUAUGUUCCUGGUCAGAAACGCUGUUCUCUGCAUCUUGGUUUUCUUUUGUGCCCGUGGGUUUUGUAGGUGGCAUAGGUGGCUUUGGAGUUUCUUUCUGAGGUGGCAAAUUGUCACUUUCGCUGAUAGUGGAGUCAAAGUCAGGUGGUCCAUUGUCUACUAUAUCCAGAUCUAGUCUCAGAAUACCAUCUGACGUAGACUUGGCAGCCUGAAACAUGAGAGAACUUUUUCAAUUUCUAUUCCAUCAAUCCUUUAACUUCAAGGAAUUGCUAUGGAUACAGCGGUAUAAACACUUGCGGCAUAAAACUUAAGCUGUAAGGGGAAGGCAGGGGAUUACUGUUUCACACAUCCACCCCCUAUUUAUACUUACAUCUGUCGAGGAGAAUCUGACUGAUUAUAAAAACGGUGCUCUCAAGAGCAGCUGCUUCUAUAGCUCAAGAGCAAUCUACGGAGCUUGUGCUUCUUCCGUGCAGCACCACCCCGAGCCACCCUCUAACAGCAGUUGCAUUCAUCUAAUAAGCGAAAGCCAGUGAGAUCUGCUACGCCAAAAUUUAAUGAGCUGUGAUAAUCAUGAGUCCCAAACACUUCACCCGACAAAGAAGGAAGCAGGGUCAGAUCACAUACGCUGCGGCAAAUCUCGAAUGCAUCAAAUGGAGCACCCCCGGCCCUCUGCACAGCCCUGCUUUUCCUCCAGACCAGCAUGUUCUGUGAAUGUCAUGAGCGUUUUUGCUGCUGAGUUAUUUUCCGCCUGAUAGCGCAGCGACUUGCACAAGAAUAACACAGCCAAUAGCCACAAGCAGUCAAGAAUUAGGACCGAAGCACAGAAUAUUUUUUUUUACUACUUCCUUUGAGCAGACCAUCUCAAAACGUGCUCCACCAUAACCUUAACUUCUCUGUUUUCCUCUUGGUGCUACGCUCUCAGCUCUGCACAACCUGAAUUCUUCAUCCUGGGGUGGCUGGAUCCCUCUACCCUUUUCAUUUACGGCGUGCUUCCCCAAAGCCCUCCCGCUUUCAGGACUGUCCUAUUUCCACUUAAACAUGUAAAACAAAUCGAUCUUUGGAUGGUCAACAUACGCUGAGACCACUUGAGCAGGGAUGCUGUUGUAAGACCGUUGCCUUCUGCUUGCUCCCUUCAGCCUGAUUUCACCGCUGCCUCGCUGGGGCCAAGCCUCAACCGAUCAGACCUUCAAACCACAGGCUGCGUGCAAAUCUCUCGAGCAGGGGGGGAUAUCCUAAAAAGGGUGGACGCGGUAAACACGCUACAGGGCGUGAGCUCGGCACCCCGGGGGGAGAAAUGCGAUGGCAGUUCCUGUGUGAGGGGGCCCAACGCUGCACAAAGGUGCAGCUGCAGCUCAGGCCAGACUCCUGCAGUGUGGAGAGUUUAGGUAAAGUCUCUCUUGCCUUUCCAGCCCCUAAGACAGACAGAGGCAAGCUGCAUCCUGGCUGCUUGGCCCUGACCCCUCCUUACCUGGCCUGCUUUGACACUGAAAAAAAUGAUUGCUCAUCCCAUUUCCUUCACAGCGCUGCAGCCAGCAACUGUGAUACUCAUCUUUCUGCAGGCUCUAUCCUCCCCCUUUCCCCUCAUUCCUGCUUUUGAAUUUGCAAGCCAGUUUCCCCCAGAUUUGGCCGAAAGUGAGAGCUCUUGCAGAUAUCUGAAUGAAGUAUCUCAUGAAAAUAGUGAGCUGGCUUCCUGCUUUACUGAACCCAUUCUAGGCAUCACAGAAUCUGCGCAUCAAGGCUUCUGCAACUUCUGUCAGGUUUUGUUCUGUUGUUUUCUGGAGGGAUGGAUGGGCACCUAUGAUUCACUCCUAUGCAUUUCUCUAGAAGAGACACUCUCCCUCUAUUUCUAUGCAAAGUUAAAACUCCUGGGGCAUCUCAUCUUCUGCAGUAGGGACAUCUGAGUGCUGUGCAGACACAUAAGUCAGAGUCUGGGGAGUGUGAAGUAAGAAGGUUUGAUUUAAAAACCUUCCUUGCUUUAGAUUAAUGGUCUCCUAACAUAUCAAUCUGUCCGUGGAAGCUUAUUCGUAAAUCACAGGAAUCCCGCAUUAAUAGGAGCUUCUCCCAUAGAAAUGAACUGCAGGUUUAUUCUGUGGUGUUCUUUCUUUCCUUCUUUUUUAAGUGAUAGAUCCAGAAAAUCAGUUACAAGUAGACAGGCCGGUCUAUAAAGCUGCCUGGGAGAAUAAUGUAUUCUGUUUCAGACCUAAGGAAGGGUUUGUAAACCCGAAAGCUUGUCUGCUUUUUCCAGUUAGUUUAAUAAAAAAUACUGCUUCUCUCCACAGACCAUGCAGUUCUUGUACCGUCAGACCAUUGUGGCUACAAAAUCAUCACUUCUUAGAAAAUAAAUAUAGGAGCUUCGGUCUCUUCUGAUUAAAGUGAAACUGUAAUGGCUCUCACCAGACAGCGCAGCGGCUCAUGAGUUAUGGAAAGCUAAAUAUAUCGUAACGUGUUGCAGCAGCUACAGAUCUAUGGGAACCUGGAGGUUUGCUAAAGAGGUGCUGGCGCCGUCUUUCCCAGAGGAAGCCGUUUCCCUUGUGAGCUUUCUCUGGGCUGUUCGCACCUGGGUUUUCCCUGGGGGUUUGCUGGUAGCUGGACGGAGCUGCCUGCUGUACUGCUGGUCCCAGCUGGGAGACGGCCCAGUCCCCAGGCAGGGCACCUACCUCCUUUAGGUGGCUUCUCGUGGGUGGCCGGCGACCUUGGGUCAUUUUCACUCUGUCCCGAGUUACAUGGUCCAAGGAAAGGCUCUCGUCUACUUUCACCUUUAAAGGGGGGAACGGGAGGGAAAGAGAGAAGAAAAGAGGUAUUAAUUUCUCAUGAUCCAUCUCUAAAGGUGUCGUUGGCACACAGGAAGGGACGCAGCAUUGGGAUCCAGGAUGAUUUUUGAAUAUUUCACCGUUACAGUCUUAGCCUCAGACCUUUGUUUGCCUGCAAAGCCCCCCACGUACGUGAUGGACAUUUAAGGCAUCAAUCCUCUGUAGAACUGCGUUUAUCUAAAAGGCACUCCAGAUCAAAGCAUCCAACCUUCAGGUCUGUAAUCUCUAACCCUCCCUCUGCCGAAAGGGCAGGACAGAGAAGGACACAAGCGGGCUUUGUUGUCCCCACCCCAGCCUGGGCUUGGAACAGCUCCUGCGUGUGGCAGAGCACAGCACCCAAAUUGCUGUUGCCAUCUCAGAGGUGAAAGCCCAUUAAUAACUGUGACCUGACGGUGAACUGUAUCAGCAGUUCUUCGUAAUAGACCUUCCCUUGUACGGCUCUAAUGACUGCAGGAAGCUGAAUAGAAGGUGUGAGCAGUGACCUGGAUUAAUUGCAACUGUAGCUGAAUUAACAAAUUCAUUUCCUGGCGUCAGAGUACAAAUCACGCAUGGGCAGCGAGGUAUCACAAAGUGGUUGAGGUUGCAGGGUACCUCUGGAGGCCAUCAGCAGGGCCACCUAGAGCAGGUUGCCCAGGACCACGUCCAGAUGGCUUCUGGAGAUCUCCGAGGAGAUCUCCAAGGAUGGAGACUCCUCAGCCUCUCUGGGCAGCCCAGGCUGGGAGGACCUAACCCCGUCGCAGGUAUUUCUCGGUGUCUGCCACCCUCCCACGCUGCCUGGGGCCGGGGACAGGCAUCCCAUGGGCAGCAGAGCCUCUAAAGCCAGCCCAGGCACUCUGAGGUUGUCCUCAGCGUGGUGGCAGGGGUGUCAGCGCUGGGCUGAGGCGUGGGCAGCCAGGGACGGCUGUCGUGCAGCUCUCCUCUCUUCGCAGCUCUGCCACGUUCUGCUGGCCACAGCUGAGGGUCAGAGCCAGUGCGGAGGACGGUGAAAGGUCAGCGCGGUUUGCUGCCCUUCGGACCACAAGGCUGUCCGAUAGGAAAAGCUGGUGAGGGUGGAAGAAGGAUUUAAAAGGAGAAAUGGGUCCCAAUCCCUGGCUGACACGGCAGGGCGCUUUUACGGCUUUCAGUGGAGAACAGCUAAGCCAAGCCAGCCGAGGGCCUGACCCGUUAGCUUGUGCCUAGCCUGUGCAGCAACACUUCAGAUCUGAGGUCUGAUCCUAAUUGGAAUGAAGGAGAAUUAAAAGCUGUCUCUCUCUGAGCAUCCAGGUCCUCCUAAGGAGCGUAACCUCCAGGUGAAGACCCCAGACCCCACCAGGCUUCGCUGCCCACUGCCGUGCCCCUCCGGGCAGCUCAGGGACGGCGUCAGGUCGCUCCGGCAAGGGCUGAGCAGCGCCGCAUUAGAGGACAUCUCAUCUCCCACCCGCUGUAAGGCUGCUUGGUGCUGAGAAUCACGACACUGGGGGAGAGACAAGUCCUUACUGUCUUGGUGCUGCAGCUGCUUCUGUGCCCCAGUGGCUUCCUCCAGGACAGUGAAACAUCAGUGCAUUCGCUGAGGGGCUGAUCCAAAACCCACUGAAGCCGCCAGACCAUCUUCCACUGACUUCGGCUGCGAGGAGAGAGCAGUAGGAAACCUGCAUGCUGCGGGCUCUGCCCGCUUCCCUGUUCCUGCAGCUCUGCAGAACAGAAGCGAUACAGGAAUCCAGGGCCCUGACUUCAGCUGCGCUGACACUGCUUCAGCUGCGUGUGGACGGGAUGCAGCACGAGGGCGGCGUAAGUGAACGAAGUCACCGUAUCUUUUUCUGUUUGCAAAUGAAAAAAUAAAGCAGCAGACACCGCAGACAUAAAA